UAUUCUUUUAAGAACUCUGUUCAGUGGGCUGGAGAGAUGGCUCGGAGGUUAAGAGCACUGGCUGUUCUUCCUGAGGUCCUGAGUUCAAUUCCCAGCAACCACAUGGCGG
rnacentral:miRNA from 1 species